rnacentral:rRNA from 1 species
AGUGAACGCUAGCGGCAAGCUUAACACAUGCAAGUCUAACUGGUCUAGCAAUAGAUUGGUGGCAAACGGGUGAGUAAUGCGUAGGAAUCUACCCAAGAUUAAGGAAUAUGUACUAGAAAUAGUAAGCAAUACCUUAUAACUCCUGAGGGAAAAAGAUUUAUCGAUCUUGGAUGAGCCUGCGUGGGAUUAGUUAGUUGGUGGGGUAAUGGCCUACCAAGACUGUGAUCUCUAGCCGACCUGAGAGGGUGGUCGGCCACACUGGGACUGAGACACGGCCCAGACUCCUACGGGAGGCAGCAGUGGGGAAUAUUGGACAAUGGGCGAAGGCCUGAUCCAGCUAUGUCGCGUGAACGAUGAAGGUCUUAGGAUUGUAAAGUUCUUUUAGUGGGGACGAUAAUGACGGUACCCACAGAAAAAGCCCCGGCUAACUUCGUGCCAGCCGCCCGCCGUAA